rnacentral:rRNA from 1 species
GGACUACUGGGGUAUCUAAUCCCGUUUGCUCCCCUAGCUUUCGCGCCUCAGCGUCAGUAUUGGGCCAGAUGAGCGCCUUCGCCACCGGUGUUCCUCCUGAUAUCUACGCAUUUCACCGCUACACCAGGAAUUCCCUCAUCCUCUCCCAUACUCAAGCCAAGCAGUUUGGAAUGCAGUGCCUCGGGUGAGCCGAGGCAUUUCACAUCCCACUUACCUGACCGCCUACACGCCCUUUACGCCCAGUGAUUCCGAACAACGCUUGCUCCCCCCGUGUUACCGCGGCUGCUGGCAC